rnacentral:lncRNA from 1 species
GUCCCCUUGAAACCCUAACCCCUCCAGCGAGUCACUCCUGCAAGGCACUCUGUCAAGGCUCUAGUAUAUCUCUUCAACCUCACAGAGUCUAGGGAAAGUAAUAUUUUGGGAGCGGCAAAGAGUCAAGGUCUGGUUCUUUCAGGUUUCCCAUCUUGAAGGGUGUGCUGAAUGGUGCAAGAGUCACUUUCCUCUGAGAUCCAUGUAUCUGCUACUAGCUGAAGUGAGACCAUCAAAGUUCUCUGUGCUUGGGUAAGUUACAAACCUUGUUUUAUUAAGAUUUUAUUUUGUAAUUUAUCUCUAAAUGGGUGAAUAAAUUCUUUGGUUAAUAUCCAAUUAGGUACCCUAACUAUGUUGGUAGAAAAAAGAACUGGAAUUUCCUAAGUGUGUCAUCUGAUCCUGUUUAUGGUAUUUGCGAGCUUGUAUGCUUGAUUGAUUUUUCACUCUUGAGCUCUUGAAUUUCACUGUAUUAUGUCUGCUUUGUUAUUACAUAUUAUCCUUGUGCUAUUUCAAGAGAAGUUUUGAAGUAAAUGGGUAUAACUGUAGAUUUAAUUAAUGGCACUACCUAGGAGUGAAAUGUUUGUAGCGUAUUGAAUUGAGGUUUCAAAAAAUUUGGGGGAAAAUCUGCUCCAUAUUUGUUGAAGCAGUAUUAUAAUUUUUAGGCUCACAAGUGUUUGAAAGUAGUUCUCAAUGAAUUUCUUUGACUGUCGUAUACAAAUAAUGCUGCAAUUGAAGAAAGGUUGAGUGCAUAUUAGCAUGUUCGUUUGUACUUUAAGCUUAUUGUAUUGAUCAUUCUAUCUAAUCAUUCAUGAGACCGAAACUCAAAAAAUGAGAUUUCAGUAAAUGAGAGAUUCCACCUACUUAUAGUUCGCAGAAAAUAGCACCAGUAAAUUACUUCCUUUUUUCACUAUUAUGCAUUAAUCUUUAUAAAUAUAUCGUAUUUCUUGGCAUGCCAAAACUUAUAUUACUAGUGUGGUUUAUGAAGAGGCUACGAGAGAAGAAGAAAGUGAUGAAAAAGAGAAUGAAAUGACUAAUGAAUACUAUGAAGAUGGAUCUUCAGAUGCAGACAUAGGUGAUGGUGAAGGCUAGUAUUCCCCGAGAGGCAAUUUAUUUCCGAAAAUAAUACAGAGAGGAAAAGCUCUUGAGGUAUCAUGACCCUUUUUUUACUCUCUUUCUUGAGUUGUUAUAUUGGUGUUGAUUGGACUACAUGGAUGUAUGGAAAUAACCAUCUGAAAUGCAAGGUUAUUUCCAUAAAUUAAGUGAAAUACUUGCAAAAUGGUAGAUCUCAUGUCAAAAUGGAGUUUUUACUUUAAGAUAUCUCUGUGGCAUAUAAUAUAUCAAUAAUAAAAAUUGGAAAUUCUUUUAGAUUCACUGUAUAAUCAUUGUCACUAGGAACUUAGGAAGGUAGUUUUACUUCUACUUAUAAUGUUUAUCUACAGGGUGCAUUUAUAUUAAAGUUCAUACAAUUUGAGUUCCUAUAUCAACCUAGAAAGCAAAAAAAAAAAAAAAAAAAAAUUAAAAAAAAAAAGUCAAAUACAAUAUGAUUAGUCACGGACAUAUUGACAUGGUAAACUUUGAGAAAUGAUACAACAAAGGAAUGACACAUAUCAAUUUCGUAGCAUAGAGAAUCAUAAAUAUAUCAUACAUUGAAAUGUUGAAAUAGAAAUGUGGAACAUAUAAUAUAAAGAAAUGUGAUGAUAGCGAAAUAGUCAAGGCACGCACAAAGCCUAGAUGCCACUACUAGGAAAAAAGAAAAAAAAUGUUGAGACAGAAAAGAUAGGAUAAUCUCAUGCAUAAAAAUUAAUAGGAAGUAUCUUUUUUGGUAGUAAUAAAUUUUUUGAUCUAUUCAAACAAGACAAUUAUCUUCUCCAUCCACCAAAGCAAUCAUGUUCAGUUCCUGCAACAAUGCUUCCAAUGCAUCAAUCUCCCAAUGCCUCUUAAACAUUAGCUACCAAAUACUUUCACUGUUAAGCUUUCAACUGACUUGCCUCUAAAUCUUCGUGACAUUAAUUAAGAUAAAUAUUUUAUGAAAUUGGAUCUACUUUACUAAAGAGCAUUCUUCGAGACAUGUUUCAAGUGACAAUAAGUUGUUUUUUUGAUUGUGCCAAUAACUGUGUAGUUGGACUUGUUUUUUCUUUUUCCAGAUACAUUUUUAAUGUGUGAAUGAAAGUUGUGCGGUUUAGUUAAUUAUAUAGAAGUCCUUUAUAUAUGGUAAUCACUUAUCCUCUUGUAAAUUGAAGCGAUGUCGUUUCUAUUCUUGUUGUUCCUAUGGUAGCAAAGUAAUAAAUAAUGGUCCUUGAAGUGCCUGCAAAACUGAUUAUUGUCCCAACUGAAAGUUGAGUUCCCAUGGUAAAACUAUAAUGAGUCUUUAGAUAUUGUAUCAUUGCGUAUGUUUAAUUUUAGGUACAGAAAUAUCUGCAUCAAGUCUUUGAUUCCAUAUAGAAAAUAAAGCUUGCAGUGAUAACAUGGCCAACUCAAUUUACAUGCAGCUUUUAAUUUGAAGGAGGCUAAUUAGUUUUAAACUAUUUUUCUCUUGUAGGAAUGUCAAAGCUUCAGCCCAAAACUUGCAUAUAAUCCCUAUAAUGAGCCCAACAUUGAAGUUUUCAUGUUGUAAAAGUAUAUUUAUCCAUUUUGAUGAAACUAUUAUUUUUUGUCAGGUUAAUAUAUUUUUAAAUGUUGUCUUAUUCCAACACUUAGUUCAUCUCUAGGACUGCUUUGAAUUUGCAGUUCUGGAGUGCUUUGAAUUUGCAGUUGCGAAGUUUUAUUGACUUCCUUGAUCUGAAUUGCAUUGUUAAACAUUACAACACCAUUUUGAUUGCAGUCAAUAAUCUUCUUUAACUGGCCAUAUGUAGGGCCUUUAAUUCAUCUCUGGGUUGGAGUUGGAAAAUUUGAUUUAAGUUAUUUUUCGUUAUAGAACUAGCAUAUUUAGGGAUGGAUUUCCAAUCAGUGAUCUCUCUUCUAACUGGCCAUAUGUAGAUCCUUUACUUCAUCUCUGGGACAACUUUGAAUUUGCAAAGCUUUAUUGACUUAUUUGAGCUGGAUUGCACUUAAAGUUUCAAGGUACUACUUAGAUUAUAUACUGGAUGUUAAAUUCUUUUAAAAAAUUUACUAAAUCAUUUAUUUUCAUCUUUUAUAGGUGUGACGACCCGGCCGGUCGUCUUAAGAAUUAGUGCCCCGAUCCCCUAUUAACUACUUUCUCUAAGUUUAUUUAUGCUAUUUUGUUUUAGUGGAAUGUUCGGUUUUAAGUUUCGGAGAGUUUUGGGACACUUAGUCCCUAAAUGAGAGUUUAAGUGUUGGAAAGUUAACCGUAGUCGGAACACUAUGAAGACGGCCUCAGAAUUGAAAUUCGAUGGUUCCGUUAGCUCCGCUAGGUGAUUUCGGGCUUAGGGGCGUAUUCGGAUUGUGUUUUGGAGGUUAGUAGCAAAUUUAGGCUUGAAAUGCCGAAAGUUGAACUUUUGAAGUUUCCGGUUCGAUAGUGAGAUUUUGAUUCGAGGGUCAAAAUGGAAUUUCGAGAGUUGCAGUAGUUUUGUUAUAUCAUUUGGGAUGUGUGUGCAAAAUUUCAGGUCAUUCAGAGGUGGUUUGGUUGAGUUUUUAUCAAAAGCGUGAUUCGGAUGAUUUUGGAAGACUUAGGCAUGAAUCCGAUGUGUUUUGGUUGAAUUGAUGUUGUUUGAGGUGUUUUGAAUAUUCGUACAAGUUUGAAUAAGGUUUUAGGAUAUGUUGGUACCUUUGGUUGAGGUCCCAGGGACCUCGGGUGAAUUUUGGAUGCUCAACGGAUCUUUUUAAGUUGUUAAAAAGUUGCAUAUUUUGUUCAGCUUUUGUAGAGGAAUUUUACCCUUCGAGUUCGCGAGUGGAACCUCGCGUUCGCAAAGAGUCAUUUGAGGAAGUCAAAUAUUAAGCCUUCGCGUUCACUAUGGGAUAUCCGCGUUCGUGAAGGGCUGGAUACUUGUGAACCGCGUUCGCGAUGAGAGGAACGCGUUCGCGAAGGUUAGACGGGUAAAGCAUUGCGUUCGCGAGGGCCUUGUCGCGUUCUCUUAAGAGAACUUUUUGUCAACGUCAUUUUUGUGCUUCGCGAACGCGAGGCUUUGACCGCGUUCGCCAAGAAGGAAUUAAAUGCCUGGGCAGUAUGUUUUAAAAGGUUUAUUUCGCGAAUUUUAACCUAGGUUCCUCCAUUGUUAGGCGAUUUUGAAGCUUUUUGAAGAGGGUUGAAGAGGGAUUCAAGUGGAAUCACUUGGAGGUAAUAUUUUUGACUUCAUAACUCAUUUUUAUGUGAUUAAAGACCUAAUUAGUGGUGUAAAAUUUCGGAAAAAAUGGGUAAUUAGGGCUUAAGUUUAAGAGGCCUUUAAAUGAGGAUUUGAGGGGUCAUUUGGACUCCGAUUUUAGUGUUCUUGUUAUGUAUAGACUCGUGAGAGUACGAGGUUUCUGAAAAUAUAAAUUUCAUCCAAAUCCGAGACGUAGCUCCGAGGGGCAUNNNNNNNNNNNNNNNNNNNNNNNNNGAAAAUAUAAAUUUCACCCAAAUCCGAGACGUAGCUCCGAGGGGCAUUUUGGUCAUUUUAUACAAUUUCGCGUAUUAGCUUAUAAUUUAAUUGUAGAAUCAAUUAAUUGAAGUGUUAUUUACAUUACGCAAAUGAAUUGAAUAGAUUUGGGUCAUUUGGAGUCGAGUACUCGUGGCAAAGACAUGGUGUCAGGUUGAUUUUGAGCCGGUUCGAGGUAAGUGGCUUGUCUAACCUUGUGUGGGGGAUCUUCCCCUUAGGAUUGAUAUAUUUGGUAAUUGAAAAGCCUUGUACAUGAAGUGACGAAUGUGUACUUGUGCAAAUUGUUGGAAAUUCGGUUUUCUUUAAGUACUUAUUAGUAUGUUCCUUCUCCUACUUUUAUUACUUGUACUAUUAAGCCCGUUAUUAGCUUAGGAAAACAUGUCUAAGUGAUUUAAUUGCUUUAAUUGUUCAAUCUAUUUACCUGAACUCUGUGCAACAUGCUAGCCUAGAAUUAUUUGUUGCCUUAAUAUGAAAUUUCCUUUCUCUGAAUAUUUUAUUGUUGCUGCUGUGUAUUUACAUUGGGACUAAGGAUGUGGGAUUUCGGUAGCUCCCCCUUGUCUGUUUACUUUGGGACUGCGGUUUAGAUUCCCGAUAGAUCCCCUGCACAUUUACUUUGGGAUUGCGGGUUAGAUUCCUGGUAGAUCCCCCUGUACAGUUAUAUGGAACUACGGGACUGCACCCGGUAGGUUCCCCCAGUACUGGGUAUUUAUAUUGGGGACUACAGAUCGGGAUUCCGGUAGAUCCCCGUGCACUGAUAGGUGGAUUACGGGACGGGAUCCCGGGAGAUCCUUCAGAUAUAUAUGAUGGACUACGGGAUGGUAUUCCGGGAGAUCCACUGGACAGUUGUAAUUAGGACUACAGGACGGUAUCCUGGAAGAUGCUCGAUUGUUAUCUCUAUGUUGAGCUGUAUUUCUUUUCGUGGCUUGUUUUGUCUCUGUUCUAAUUGUUGUUGUUCUGUCAAUUCUAUGUUAUUUCUUACUGUUGCACUUAUUUAUACUGUUUUAUUCCACACUGUUAACCCUUAUAUUGUAUUUAACCUCAGUAGGGCCCUGACCUUCCUCGUCAUUACCCGAUUGAGAUUAGGCUUGGCACUUACUGAAUACCGUUGUGGUGUACUCAUGCCCCUUCUGCACAUGUUUUUCAUGUGCAGUUCCAGGUACUUCUACUCAGGCCUACCAUCCUUGAGGGAGGCGACUACUUAGAGAAGUCGAGGUACAUUUGCCGUGUCCGCAGACCGAGGAGUCCCUUUCUAUUCUUGCCUUUUAGUAUUUAGCCCUUCUGUACAUUCUGUUCUUAUUAGACAAAUUCCGGAGUUAGAGCUAUGUAUUAUUUCUUUUUCUUAGCUUG